rnacentral:rRNA from 1 species
GAUGAACGCUGGCGGCGUGCUUAACACAUGCAAGUCGAACGGAAAGGCUCCUGCUUGCAGGGGUACUCGAGUGGCGAACGGGUGAGUAACACGUGGGUGAUCUGCCCCGCACUUCGGGAUAAGCCUGGGAAACUGGGUCUAAUACCGGAUAGGACGAUGGUUUGGAUGCCAUUGUGGAAAGUUUUUUCGGUGUGGGAUGAGCUCGCGGCCUAUCAGCUUGUUGGUGGGGUAAUGGCCUACCAAGGCGUCGACGGGUAGCCGGCCUGAGAGGGUGUACGGCCACAUUGGGACUGAGAUACGGCCCAGACUCCUACGGGAGGCAGCAGUGGGGAAUAUUGCACAAUGGGCGCAAGCCUGAUGCAGCGACGCCGCGUGGGGGAUGACGGCCUUCGGGUUGUAAACUCCUUUCGCUAGGGACGAAGCGCAAGUGACGGUACCUGGAGAAGAAGCACCGGCUAACUACGUG